rnacentral:ncRNA from 1 species
AGAAAACCGAUGAGUGGGAGAUAAAACUUAAAAAUGUAUUUGUAGAGAGCUUAGGGUGGUGGAAACUAGGUAAUGGCAGUUAAGUAAAUGGACCUGCGAGGGCGAAGGGGAACGGUAACAAGUAUCCUGAGACGUUGGCUUACGUUAUCAAGCAAAAAUGUGUUAGCAUUUUACAGAGUGGGUUCAAUGAACCAAUAAAGGUGGUACCGCAGAUAUAUACAUCUGUCCUUUUG